AGAGUUUGAUCCUGGCUCAGAACAAACGCUGGCGGCGUGGCUAAGACAUGCAAGUCGAACGGACCGUUAAUUUAUUAAUGGUUAGUGGCGAAAGGGUUAGGAACGGACAGGUAACGUACCCUGUGCUCUGGGAUAGCGUCGUUCGCUUUCGGGCGAGCUACCGAAAGGGGCGGUAAUACCGGAUAAUAUCAUUUGUUGAUGGACAGAUGUUCAAAGAUUUAUCGGCACAGGAGCGGCCUAUCUCCUAUCAGCUUGUUGGUGAGGUAAUAGCUCACCAAGGCGACGACGGGUAGCGGGACUGAGAGGUUGGCCCGCAACAUCGGGACUGAGACACUGCCCGGACCUCCACGGAGGGCUGCAGUAACGAAUCUUGCGCAAUGGGCGAAAGCCUGACGCAGCGACGCCGCGUGUAGGAGGAAGUCUUUCGGGAUGUAAACUACUGUCAGGGGGAAGAAAGUCCGCUUCGGCGGAUUGAUCCAACCCAAAGGAAGUCACGGCUAACUUCGUGCCAGCAGCCGCGGUAAGACGAAGGUGGCAAGCGUUGUUCGGUAUUACUGGGCUUAAAGCGUGUGUAGGCGGAAAGGUAAGCGUCCUGUGAAAGCCCCCGGCUCAACCGGGGAACUGCUCGACGAACUGCCUUUCUUGAGGCAAGUAGGGGUGCAUGGAACUCUUGGUGGAGCGGUGGAAUGCGUAGAUAUCAAGAGGAACGCCGGCGGUGAAAACGGUGCACUGGGCUUGUUCUGACGCUGAGACACGAAAGCGUGGGUAGCGAACGGGAUUAGAUACCCCGGUAGUCCACGCCGUAAACGAUGCCUACUAGGUUGUGAAAGUUCUGACACUGGCACAGCCGAAGCAAAAGUGUUAAGUAGGCCGCCUGGGGAGUACGGUCGCAAGGCUAAAACUCAAA
rnacentral:rRNA from 1 species